CCGACGGUGAGGGGUGAAAGCUGGGGGCACGAACCGGAUUAGAUACCCGGGUAGUCCCAGCCGUAAACGAUGCUCGCUAGGUGUCAGGCAUGGCGCGACCGUGUCUGGUGCCGCAGGGAAGCCGUGAAGCGAGCCACCUGGGAAGUACGGCCGCAAGGCUGAAACUUAAAGGAAUUGGCGGGGGAGCACAACAACGGGUGGAGCCUGCGGUUUAAUUGGACUCAACGCCGGACAACUCACCGGGGGCGACAGCAAUAUGUAGGCCAAGCUGAAGACUUUGCCUGAAUCACUGAGAGGAGGUGCAUGGCCGUCGCCAGUUCGUACUG
rnacentral:rRNA from 1 species